CUGUACUGACAGCCUCGCGCGGAGCAUGACGGGAAAUGAAGUCUUGUCCCGCCUUCAGCCGCAUUCUAAACGAAAACACCUUGGACUGCAUCCCCCGGCAUGCCGUGCGCGCACUUUCCUGUGACGUCCUUUGUUUUGUAAUUCAGUCUCGGUAAAAAAAAAAAAAAAAAAAGGCCGAAGUUCAGAGCGAUCAGCUGAUUCGAGCUGACAGGAGCGGUCGGUGGGAAGCCGGGCGAUCAGGGAUACGGCCUCCCCCAUCCAGCCGCGCUCAGUCCCUGCUGCCGAGACCAGGAAGUGCCGCUGGGUCAUCCCUGAGUCACCGCCUGCCGGCUGCUCACACAAACAAUAGGUCGCCCGGCCCCCCCGAAGGAUCCCUGGACUGACUGCCGGCCGGCCCCCCUGGGGGAUCCCUGGACUGACUGACUGCCGGCCCCCGUGUGUGGACCCCGAGCCCCGGGCAAGUAGGCUGUCUGAGCUCCAUAUCCAAUUACUGAGCCACUAACCUCUAUUUAUUAUCAUAUAACUGACCCUCUGUGCCACUAACCUCUAUAUUAUCCUAUUACUGAGCCACUAACCUCUAUAUUAUCCAAUUACUGAGCCACUAACCUCUAUAUUAUCCUAUUACUGAGCCACUAAUCUCUAUUUAUUAUCAUAUAACUGACCCUCUGAGCCACUAACCUCUAUUUAUUAUCAUAUAACUGACCCUCUGUGUUGCUAACCUCUAUUUAUUAUCAUAUAACUGACCCUCUGUGAUCACUAACCUCUAUUUAUUAUCAUAUAACUGACCCUCUGUGCCGCUAACCUCUAUUUAUUAUCAUAUAACUGACCCUCUGUGUCGCUAACCUCUAUUUAUUAUCAUAUAACUGACCCUCUGUGUCACUAACCUCUAUUUAUUAUCAUAUAACUGACCCUCUCUGCCGCUAACCUCUAUUUAUUAUCAUAUAACUGACCCUCUGAGCCACUAACCUCUAUUUAUUAUCAUAUAACUGACCCUCUGUGAUCACUAACCUCUAUUUAUUAUCAUAUAACUGACCCUCUCUGCCUCUAACCUCUAUUUAUUAUCAUAUAACUGACCCUCUCUGCCUCUAACCUCUAUUUAUUAUCAUAUAACUGAGCCACUAACCUCUAUUUAUUAUCAUAUAACUGACCCUCUGUGCCGCUAACCUCUAUUUAUUAUCAUAUAACUGACCCUCUGUGCCACUAACCUCUGUUUAUUAUCAUAUAACUGACCCUGUGUGUCACUAACCUCUAUUUAUUAUCCUAUUACUGAGCCACUAACCUCUAUUUAUUAUCAUAUAACUGACCCUCUGUGCCACUAACCUCUAUUUAUUAUCAUAUAACUGACCCUCUGUGCCACUAACCUCUAUUUAUUAUCAUAUAACUGACCCUCUGUGCCACUAACCUCUAUUUAUUAUCAUAUAACUGACCCUCUGUGCCUCUAACCUCUAUUUAUUAUCAUAUAACUGACCCUCUCUGCCACUAACCUCUAUUUAUUAUCAUAUAACUGACCCUCUGUGCCUCUAACCUCUAUUUAUUAUCAUAUAACUGACCCUCUGUGCCACUAACCUCUAUUUAUUAUCAUAUAACUGACCCUCUGUGUCACUAACCUCUAUUUAUUAUCAUAUAACUGACCCUCUGUGCCACUAACCUCUAUUUAUUAUCAUAUAACUGACCCUCUCUGUGCCACUAACCUCUAUUUAUUAUCAUAUGGCGACCCUCUGUGCCCACUAACUCUGUGGCUAUCAUACUGCUUGGUAUAGGUCGCCGCCUCACAUUUCAUUAUCUUUUGGCGACCCUCUGUGCCACUAACCUCUAUUUAUUAUCAUAUAACUGACCCUCUGUGCCACUAACCUCUAUUUAUUAUCAUAUAACUGACCCUCUGUGCCUCUAACCUCUAUUUAUUAUCAUAUAACUGACCCUCUCUGCCACUAAACUCUAUUUAUUAUCAUAUAACUGACCCUCUGUGAUCACUAACCUCUAUUUAUUAUCAUAAAACUGACCCUCUCUGCCGCUAACCUCUAUUAUCAUAUAACUGACCCUCUCUGCCGCUAACCUCUAUUUAUUAUCAUAUAACUGACCCUCUGUGCCGCUAACCUCUAUUUAUUAUCAUAUAACUGACCCUCUGUGCCACUAACCUCUGUUUAUUAUCAUAUAACUGACCCUGUGUGUCACUAACCUCUAUUUAUUAUCCUAUUACUGAGCCACUAACCUCUAUUUAUUAUCAUAUAACUGACCCUCUGUGCCACUAACCUCUAUUUAUUAUCAUAUACCUGACCCUCUGUGCCACUAACCUCUAUUUAUUAUCAUAUAACUGACCCUCUGUGAUCACUAACCUCUAUUUAUUAUCAUAUAACUGACCCUCUGUGCCACUAACCUCUAUUUAUUAUCAUAUAACUUCCACCCCUCUGUGCCACCAACCUCUGGCUUGCUAUCAUAUAACUGACCCCUCUGUGAUCACUAACCUCUGGCUUAUUAUCAUAUAACUGACCCUCUGUGCCACUCAAGCAACCUCUUAUUUUGCCAUAUAACUUCGUGGACCCCUCUGGGUGCUUAACCUCUCUUAUUUAUUAUCAUAUAACUGACCCUCUGUGAUCACUAACCUCUAUUUAUUAUCAUAUAACUGACCCUCUGUGCCACUAACCUCUAUUUAUUAUCAUAUAACUGACCCUCUGUGCCGCUAACCUCUAUUUAUUAUCAUAUAACUGACCCUCUGUGAUCACUAACCUCUAUUUAUUAUCAUAUAACUGACCCUCUCUGCCGCUAACCUCUAUUUAUUAUCAUAUAACUGACCCUCUGUGAUCACUAACCUCUAUUUAUUAUCAUAUAACUGACCCUCUCUGCCGCUAACCUCUAUUUAUUAUCAUAUAACUGACCCUUUGUGCCGCUAACCUCUAUUUAUUAUCAUAUAACUGACCCUCUCUGCCGCUAACCUCUAUUUAUUAUCAUAUAACUGACCCUCUGUGAUCACUAACCUCUAUUUAUUAUCCUAUUACUGACCCUCUGUGCCACUAACCUCUAUUUAUUAUCAUAUAACUGACCCUCUGUGCCACUAACCUCUAUUUAUCAUAUAACUGACCCUCUCUGCCGCUAACCUCUAUUUAUUAUCAUAUAACUGACCCUCUGUGCCACUAACCUCUAUUUAUUAUCAUAUAACUGACCCUCUGUGCCACUAACCUCUAUUUAUUAUCAUAUAACUGACCCUCUGUGCCUCUAACCUCUAUUUAUUAUCAUAUAACUGACCCUCUCUGCCACUAACCUCUAUUUAUUAUCAUAUAACUGACCCUCUGUGCCUCUAACCUCUAUUUAUUAUCAUAUAACUGACCCUCUGUGCCACUAACCUCUAUUUAUUAUCAUAUAACUGACCCUCUGUGUCACUAACCUCUAUUUAUUAUCAUAUAACUGACCCUCUGUGCCACUAACCUCUAUUUAUUAUCAUAUAACUGACCCUCUCUGCUGUCCUCCUGCUUUCUAUUUAUAAUUGGCACAAGUCCUGGCAACAGUAUUAGAGGAACAUUAUUUGCACUAAAGAGAGUUUCAUACUCAGUUAUUGCCUUGUUUUUAAUAAAGGGAAUCCCCUACUACCCGGUCCUAGGCUGGGAAUCCCCUACUACCAGGUCCUAGGCUGGGAAUCCCCUACUACCCGGUCCUAGGCUGGGAAUCCCCUACUGCCCGGUCCUAGGCUGGGAAUCCCCUACUGCCCGGUCCUAGGCUGGGAAUCCCCUACUACCCGGUCCUAGGCUGGGAAUCCCCUACUACCCGGUCCUAGGCUGGGAAUCCCCUACUACCCGGUCCUAGGCUGGGAAUCCCCUACUACCCGGUCCUAGGCUGGGAAUCCCCUACUACCCGGUCCUAGGCUGGGAAUCCCCUACUAGCCGGUCCUAGGCUGGGAGUCGCCUAGCCGGUCCUAGUAUUGGAAUCGCCGAGCCGGUCCUAGUCUUGUGCACGAUAUAGAAAUCGCAUACUCCUUGCUAGCCUUGUCUACAAAUUAGGAAUAGCGUGCCCCUUACUAGCCCUUUUGUAUACAUUAGUAAUAUCAAACUCAUUACUAGUCCUAUAUACAAUUUUUAUAAGAAUAACUUGCAAAAUGCUUAUCCUUUUUCUGGUAUAGUAAUAGCAAUCCCAGUACUUAUCUUGUUUACAAAAUAAUAUUAAUUGGAAUGGCACCUGUCUUGUUUGCUAUAUUGCAAUAGCACCCCCAGUAUUUAUUUACCUUACCUACCGAAGUGCUUUACCAUCCCAAUUACUUGUCCAAUCAUAGUGCAAAGUCCCCCCUCCCCCCCACAGUAUUCUUCCAGUCUACCAUAGUGCGAUAACAUUUUGGGUAUCGUUGCUGAUUUUGACCAUCAUAAUUGAUACAUGAAAUCAUUUGCCUGUUGAUGUAUUUCCUCCAGGCAAUCUCUUGUUUACUCAUAUAGCUCCUCCUUGUAAUUCCUCCUUAUUUAAAUGCUGUUUAUUUUGCAGAUUGUAUAGAUCUGCUUACUGGCACUAAACCUCCUGUAAUGGAAUAAAAGUCAAACAAUAUACUUUAUACAUGAAAGCUGCUAGAGCAUCAACCCCAGGAGAUCUGAGAUCCGAGAACAACACUGGUUGUUGAAGCAAUAUUACUGAACUAUUCACUGUCUGCUGAAACUCUAUCCUCAGAACAUUGAUGUCCGAUGUCCUGGAUGGUCUUUGGUGACCUUUGCAGAUGCCAUCACUUCUGACAUCGUACAUAUCUUCCCUUUUAUUUUUUUCUCUCUUAAAAGUUUCAACUUCAACAAGUUCUCUAAAAGAUCAAUAAUAUUUUACAGUAGCCUCUGCCCCCUGCCUAUGCAGAUUUGCUCCAGGGACCUAUCAUCAUCCACUCCAAAAGGACUUAAUGUAUGGUUCAUAAGAAUGAAAUUCUUCGACACUUCUAGCCAAUUGAUUGUCCUUCCUGGAGGUGCUGGAAUAACCUCCCACUGAUGAUUUUGACGUUACAAUAACAAAAUACAAACAUCUCAGGUGGAAAUGCAUUAUUUUAACUAAUUUCUAAAGUUAUUGUCUUAAUGUGCCAGUAUUGGCUUUUCAGCUAAUGGUUUAGCUUGUACUGAAAAAUGCGGUGUGUGUAUAUACUUUGUAGUUUAAAUAUUUUUAUAUUUUUUAUGCAUUUGUAAAUGUAUUCACAUUCAG